ensembl:lncRNA
ACAGCAACAAACAUUGGCCUUGAGUGGAAAGAGUUGGUAAACACCGAGUGGAUUCGGGUUGGUCAAACGCUCGACUCGGCGCGUCGUUUUCUGCGAAAAGCUGGUUGUGCUGCUGGUUGUCUUGUUCCGGUAGCCUAGCGGGGCCACUUGCAGGCAGGGCUGGAGCUUUUGCAUCACCUGGCCCUUAAUCUCUUAAACAAGACCCGCACUCCACCGUUCUCCCUCCCUGCUGGCUGGAACUCCCACCGGAGGCCCCUUAAUCCUGUGCAGCGCGAGUCCGUGACUGCCGAGGGACCUCGGAGCCCCCCGUCCGGCCUGCGUGUCUCUCCGGCGAGCGGUCGCACUCUUGACGGUCCAUCUGUUGCCGCUGUCUUUCAG